rnacentral:rRNA from 1 species
AUUGAACGCUGGCGGCAGGCCUAACACAUGCAAGUCGAACGAGUGGCGGACGGGUGAGUAAUGUCUGGGAAACUGCCUGAUGGAGGGGGAUAACUACUGGAGACGGUAGCUAUUACCGCAUACCAUCGGAUGUGCCCAGAUGGGAUUAGCUAGUGGGUGGGGUAACGGCUCACCUAGGCGAAGAUCCCUAGCUGGUCUGAGAGGAUGACCAGCCACACUGGAACUGAGACACGGUCCAGACUCCUACGGGAGUCAGCAGUAGGGAAUAUUGCAGAAUGGGCGCAAGCCUGAUACAGCCAUGCCGCGUGUAUGAAGAAGGCCUUCGGGUUGUAAAGUACUUUCAGCGGGGAGGCGUUACUCGCAGAAAAAGCACCGGCUAACUCCGUGCCAGCCGCCGCGGUAAUAC